rnacentral:rRNA from 1 species
CNACGGAGAACUGCUCAUGAUAAAUUAAAUAGCCGCAAUUCGUGCUAAGGUAGCAUAAUCAUUUGUCUUUUAAAUAAAGACUAGAAUAAAAGAUUUAACAUUUCAAUUUAUUUACUUAAUUUUAUAAUUAAAAUUAUCCAAAAUGUAAAAAGACAUUUAUAUUUAAGAAAGACGAUAAGACCCUAUUGAACUUAACUUUAGUUAAACUGGGGCAGUUAAUUAAUUAUCAUUUUAAUAAUAAUUAUACUUCAACUAUCCUAUCUUAUAGAAUAAUUCAGUUACCAUAGGGAUAACAGCGUAAUAGUUUUCUAAAGAUCCUAUUUACAAAACAGUUUACGACCUCGAUGUUGAAUUAAUCUUCUAUAUUAAGCAAAAUUUAUAUAAGAAAGUCUGUUCGACUUUUAAAAAAUUACAUGAUCUGAGUUCAAAACCGGAGA